GAGGUAGUGCAUUAUGAUGGCAACUGCCUGCCCUCCGAAGGCAGGGGUUGCUGGUUCGAUCCCAGCCGGGCGCGCCA
rnacentral:tRNA from 1 species